CUGCCACUAAAGAACAGAUCUUCUAGAGGUUCUUCCUUGGUGGAGCUUUCCUCUGUAAACUUGGAAUCUUCUGAUACAGCAGGAAUUCUGGAGCAGCCAUCUGCACUGCUGAUUUCUGCCAGGACAUCCGGCUUCACGUUUUCAUGUCCUACAACAAUUUGUGCCCUCAGCAACCUGCGCUGUGGCCACCAGGGUUCCCUCAUUGCCAGCUGAGAAAUCUGAAAACAUGCAUUGCUUCAUUUUGCCCCGUUUCUUCAGGGAAAGUUGAGGCUCCGAAGCAGAAUCAGACAGAACUCUGAACUGUCUCUGCUGCUCUGGCAGUGGUGAAGAGUGAUGCAGUUUGGGUCACCAAGUCCUCCAUCCGUGGGCAAGCUGUGACCUCAGAAACCUGCUUCUUCAUCUGAUGGCUGUGAGGAAAAUGCUGCUUCUGGGAAGAGUUGCUUUGGGAAUGACCGGGCCGGGGAGCUGGAUGUGUGUGCAUUGCAACAGGCUGGAAUAAGGAAAUGCUUUUUAGAACAAGCAGUUCAGGUGACAUGCAAGCAGCACAGCGAGCAGCGAUGCCUAAAGCAAAACAAACCAAAGAGAAAAUCUGGGAAGGCUCAGCAACACAGAACAGAACUGUCGGCUCCAAACGUGCCUCGGGGAAAACAGCCAGACUGACAGGAGGGAAAGGGCCAGGGCACAGCCGAGGACUGCCGUCAACCUGAAGCUGAGCACUCCAGACACAGUGUGAUUUAUACGCCCUGUCUGAAAUAAUGGCUUCAGCAGAAGAAAAGCCCCUAUUGAAAUUGCUGCUGUCACUUCUGCUUCCUGUUUAUAGUGCUGGAUUCGGUUACACAGAUGUCAGUGGUGCCAUCACUGUGCUGACAGGUAUGGAAGAAGUCUGACUUUGACUUCUUGUGCAAACACAAAAGAGUCUUUUGGGACAACAUACAGCAGCUACAGGACUUGUCAGAUGUUGUCCCUAUCUUCCGUGGAUCACAGAGCACUUUGCAGCCAUGACCCCAGCAGUGUGGCAGCAGCCCUGCAAGGAGGUGCAGAGCUGAGUGCCCAACCUCCCCGCAGCAGCCUGAGCCAGACAGUGCGUUCCUCCAGCUCUCUGUUCUGUGACAAAGCUGUGAGCCCACCGGGGCCCUUCCUGAGCUGCACACAUUGGAAGGGAGAAUGAAGGGGCCUGCAUUUCUCCCUCUUUCCCCAUGCAGUCACGCUUUGCUGCCCACUUGCCCCAUUUUGUGUCCCCACAGCAUGGUGAAGUGCCCGGUGUUGGCAGGGCUCACAGCCCUGUCCUUUGGUGCAGUCACAUUGCAGCCUGCAGGGCUGCCCCGCUGCGUGCAUGCUGCAGGGCUGCACAGCUGCAGGAAGAGCCACGGCUCCUCCUACACACACACAUGCACCAUCUGUAGCCAAUAGUAGUGUGCUGCGAGGGCCAGCUAUGUUUAGGUUGAAGGAAACAGUUCAGUAGUUACAUCAUACUUUGAUCCUCCUGUCCUGCGAUCUUCUGGAGGCUCUCAUGUGAUGAGUGUGCUCAAUCGCAUCCAUUCUGACUUUGCUUUGGUUUGGUUUUCUCCUCUCUGCUCUUACACGCUCUCCAGCUUGUUUUCACUUUGCACUCCCUAAAGUUGUCCCAUCCCAGCCCUGAGCAGAACCGUAGGGCUGUUGGCCUUCCUCUAUCAGACCAGCAUUUGGAGUUCUCUCUGCCCUCAGCACAGGUAGGGAGCUGCCCUCAAAGAGCCCACAGAGUGAUGGGGGAGGGAUGUGACAGGCUUGUAUCUGGCCAGCUCUCACAAAGCAGUGGCACAUAUGGCUUCACACAGGUGCUCAAAGCACCCAGUGUGCCUCAGCUGCACAGAACGGGGCACACACAGACCAGCUCUGCUUGGAGUGCAUGGAACACAUGGGCACACUCACCAGCACUGCUGGAAGUUCUCAUAGUGAUCCUGAUCCGUGGCUGGUGAUGAGCCCCAGCGCCUCCUCGUCUGCAGGGAGCCCCAUACCUCACAGCACUUGUAGAAUGCAUGCCAUGGUGUGAGCUCUGCUGCUGUGGCAGGGGGUUUGUCUGGCUGUUAAAUGUUGAAAAACAGUUUUUGGAAAGAUUUGCAUUGAUCAAAGAGAGUCAAAUUCUACACCCGUGUCAGUGCUUCUAACCUAAAUAUUCUCUCUUGCAUAUUCCUACCGGCAAUGGGGUAGUUCUCAUUCUGAAAUCAGC